UACAGAGGGUGCGAGCGUUGUUCGGAAUUACUGGGCGUAAAGCGCGCGCAGGCGGCCCUUUAAGUCCGUCGGUCAAAUGCCGGGGCUCAACCCCGUUGCAUGCCGAGGAUACUGUGGGGCUAGAGUACGGAAGAGGCGAGUGGAAUUCCUGGUGUAGCGGUGGAAUGCGCAGAUAUCAGGAGGAACACCAAUAGCGAAGGCAGCUCGCUGGGACGUUACUGACGCUGAGGCGCGAAAGCGUGGGGAGCGAACAGG
rnacentral:rRNA from 1 species